GGGGUGGCAACACCCCAGUGGCGGACGGGUGAGUAAUACGUAGGAACCUGCCCUUGAGUGGGGGAUAGCCCGGGGAAACUCGGAUUAAUACCGCAUGACCUUCUCGAAGCAAAGUGGGGGACCGCAAGGCCUCACGCUCUUGGAAGGGCCUACGUCGGAUUAGCUUGUUGGUGAGGUAACGGCUCACCAAGGCUACGAUCCGUAGCUGAUCUGAGAGGAUGAUCAGCCACACUGGGACUGAGACACGGCCCAGACUCCUACGGGAGGCAGCAGUGGGGAAUAUUGGACAAUGGGCGAAAGCCUGAUCCAGCAAUGCCGCGUGUGUGAAGAAGGCCUUCGGGUUGUAAAGCACUUUAGGUCGGAAAGAAAAAGCUUUUCCUAAUACGAAAAGCCUUGACGGUACCGACAGAAUAAGCACCGGCUAACUCUGUGCCAGCAGCCGCGGUAAUACAGAGGGUGCUAGCGUUAAUCGGAUUUACUGGGCGUAAAGCGUGCGUAGGUGGUUGCGAAAGUCGGUUGUGAAAGCCCCGGGCUCAACCUGGGAAUGCCAUCCGAUACUUCGCGACUAGAGUUCGGUAGAGGGCGGUGGAACUCC
rnacentral:rRNA from 1 species